UACAGAGGUGCCAAGCGUUAGGCGGAAUCACUGGGCUUAAAGCGCGUGUAGGCGGGUCGUUAAGUGUCCGAGUGAAAUCCCACGGCUCAACCGUGGAACUGCCGGGCAUACUGGCGAUCUUGAGGCAUUCAGGGGCGAGCGGAACAAAUGGUGGAGCGGUGAAAUGCGUAGAUAUCGAGAGGAACACCGGUGGCGAAGGCGGCAUCCUGGACCGGCAUUGACGCUGAGGCGCGAAAGCUAGGGGAGCAAACGGG
rnacentral:rRNA from 1 species